CACGUAGGCACCAAGCGUUGUCCGGAUUUAUUGGGCGUAAAGAGCUCGUAGGCGGUUUGUCGCGUCUGCUGUGAAAACUGGAGGCUCAACCUCCAGCCUGCAGUGGGUACGGGCAGACUAGAGUGCGGUAGGGGAGAUUGGAAUUCCUGGUGUAGCGGUGAAAUGCGCAGAUAUCAGGAGGAACACCGGUGGCGAAGGCGGGUCUCUGGGCCGAUACUGACGCUGAGGAGCGAAAGCGUGGGGAGCGAACAGG
rnacentral:rRNA from 1 species